UACAUUUUAUAAUUUUUUCCACUUUAAAAUCAAAGCAAUUGUGAUUUUUGACAAUUUCGUUCGUGUGUAAAAAACCAAAAAUGGUGAUUUUUAAGAAAACCUGGGGUUUAUCAUCUUCAUAGACAACGUAGACCCGUUGUUUCACAUGGAAAAAAGCUGGAAGAGCAAUAGAUGUGCAUGUUCUGAAGUUAAUUGCUUAGGAAAUAAAAAAAUCCAUUGAGAAAAAAAUCAUGAUUUCAUGAUUUGAGUUCAGAAUGGCAGCACUGGCUCCAGCUAUAAGCCCUGGUAGCUAUCGCUGUAUUACCUAUUCUGAAAAAAUUGGGAUCUUGUGCGGAAGACAUACACAACUACUUUCUAGUGCAUUGAUGUUUGAAAAUGAGAUGUCAGGAUGUGAUGUGCUCAGCCAAGAAAAGAGAAAACUUCAUGAUUGACUUUUGAAACUGUGGAUUUUUUUGGUAAUGCAUUUUAUAAAAUUCUGUAAAUGGAUCAUGAAAUAAAAACAACAACACUCACUUCA